rnacentral:misc_RNA from 1 species
GGCGCCCGCGGUCCGCAUUGAAUCCCUCACCCUUCCUUUGAUGCCACACGUCAGCAGCUCUAGCUGAGUCGGACUUGCACCUCUAGCUGAGUCGGGCGAGUGCCGAUGUGGCAGCUGGCCGCGGUCACGUGACCGAGCGUGACCCUUGUGCGGGCCGAGUAGAGGGCGUUGUUUUGUGCCCGGUGUGCUGAGGGGCGGACGUGUGAGCUGGAGCUGCGCGAAAUGUAAGUGGAUUCUGUAUUUGAAUUAUACUUUGUUCUUUCUUGAUAUUGCUAUAAACAUGCUGAUCGAUUCAUUAACGUAAUAUAGUUGUUUGUUCGAGUUUGAUUUAUGUACGUGUUUACUUUCGCUAGGCAGAGUGAGCACCGCGGAGUCGGGCUGCUCGUGAGUCCGGGGAUGUUUGGCGGCCGAGCUGUGGCUGUGGGUUCCCCCGUGACGGACCGUGUGGACGGAGCGAUCUUCGUGAUGAGAUCGACUUGUUGAGCGCCGGAGACGUGAACAGCCGGUAUGUUUAACGUUGCGUCUGAUUUACUGUACGAAAUUGCCCGAAUUGUUAAGUGUUAAUUAAUCGAGUAAAUGAUAGCGCUAAUAGUAACUUUGGUUCUAGAAUUGCAGCAAUAUUUAUUUCAUGUUAUGUUCAAUGCACGGCUCACAAUAUGUCGUUUUGUUCGGACAUGUCGAUUGUGGACGUGAUUGUGUACUGACCGGUGCAUUGUCUGUGUGUUUGUGUCCGGGCAGUAACGGACAGUUUCGGACUGCCUCGAGAGCUGCAGACGAAUAGAGGUCCAGUUGACGGCACAGCGUUUUUGACUACGAGGGCGCUCGGUUUGGCCCACGGCUGAGGCCGUGGCGGCUACAGUUACGGCUGAGUCUUCAUCAGCCACGCCCGUCUGCGUCCGUCGGCUUCUCUGCUGCGCUGCGGUUGAGGACACCAGCCCGCGGCCGAGUGAGACUGUCUCCGAUCGUGGGUGAGUGAUUCUGGCAACGUGCCAGGUCGGAAGGACGAUAGAAGCCGGGUGGCCUGUCGCCUCUGGUGACUGUGCGCGGUGGCUGCGAGCACUAGCCCGAGGCUACAGUGGCUCGUGCCCGGGGCUACAGGUGAUUGUGCUUCACUGUGUUUGGGGCGCCAGGGAGUAGGGGUCGGUCAGCUCCGCCGUGAGCAGUUGGGCUGUUGAUAAGCGAUGGACGCCGGGUCUGGGGUGGUGUGUAUUGUGUGUGCACUACGCUAGUAAUAUCGUUAGUGUUUAAGUAGUAGUAUUAGUGUUUAAGGUGUGUGUUUAUUUAUUUGUGAUUGCACAGGUUGUGUUAUGCGGAGUAGGUGUUUAGAAUAGCUGAUGUGGCUUAAUCCUGGAUCCUUGUUCGUAAUUCUCCUCAUCUUUUUGUCCUCUGCUUUCACAAUGGCACCUACCAGGGAAGAUUUGAACAGGCUAAAACUGACCGAGUUACAGAGAGAGCUAGAGUCUAGGGGACUUGAUAUCACAGGUAAGAAGAACGAGUUAGUGGAUAGGCUGUUUGAGGCACUGAUAGAAUCAGAGACGCCCCCUCCAGCGCAGAAGGAAAGUCCUCAAAUGCCCCUUGUGGCACCCGAGUCGGGAUCUGCGGUUCCUGAUGCUUCCCUACUCUUAGCUCGUUUAAGAAUUAUCCAGGAGAGACAGCUGGUUGAGCAGGAGAGGAUUUCAGUUAGGGCAAAGGCAGAGCAGGAUGAUUCGAGACUUCAGGCUCGAUCGGAGCAGUUGCAGAUAGAGUUGCAACUUGCUGAAGUGGGUCACUAUGACGAAGCUGCCCUUGAGCCCCUGAGGGUUUCUACAGCUAGUCAGGCUCCGCAGUCAGAGUCCGCGAGUGCACUGUCCUCGCAGGUGAGGCGUGCUCUGCUCCCUCCCACGGAGCUACGUCCAUUCACAGGUAACGUGGAAGAUUUUCGUUUAUUUAUGAGCGCCUUCGAGGCUCGUGUUGCCAGUAAGACUGAUGAUCAGGAGGAACUUUUAUUUUAUUUGGAACAGUUCACUAGCGGGAAACCGAACCAGCUGGUGAGGAGCUGUCUUCAUCUGGGUGCUGCUGGAUUCGUUGAGGCCAAGCAGUUACUCGAGACGCGGUACGGUAACACAAUAUGUUUAGUUGACUCAUACGUUGAGAAGGUAAAGGGGUGGUCUCGGAUCCUACCCGGAGAUGUAGAAUCACUGGACAAGUUUGUUCUGUUUCUGACGGAGGUAAAGAACGCCGUAUCUGGCGUAGCUUUGAGUGAAUUCGAACAUCCAUCAACUCUCCGCCUGAUAGUUUCUAAAGUUCCUCCUCACCUGCAGGAUCGGUGGCUUAGAGAAGUAGACCGCCUAUGCCAGGAGGGGCGCGCUGUCAGGUUUUCCGAUUUAGUUAAGUUUUUGGCCGCUGAGGUUCGGGUCAAGAAGAAUCCGCUUUUUGGCCUUCGUUCUGCCAAUGCUGACCGCCGGCCGGAGGCUCCUGGUGGACCUCGGAGGCACACGGUCAAUGUGGCGCACGUGACAGCGCCGGGGGAUCAGCGCUGCGUCUACUGUGGCGGUCCCCACAGUGUGGCGGACUGUGAGGUGCUGAGGAUGAGGCCGUGGGUCGAGCGGCGAAAGGUCUUUAUGCAGCAUAAGUUAUGUUUUGGGUGCCUAAAGGUGGGGCACCAGGUUCGGUCCUGCCGGCGGCCGCUGGUCUGCGGCGUCUGUGGCGGGCUCCAUCCCUCUGUCAUGCAUGGCGAACCGGGCGGGGGACCGGCACCACCUUGGGUUUCAGGCUCUCGGCCGGAUCAGUGGCAUCAGCGGCCGAGUCCUCGCGGUAGUACGUCUCAGAGGAUGCAGCCAGGUGACAUGAUUCCGCCCGGCGGAGUCGGGACAGCGGUGGUUCCGCACCGCGGCGGCGCGGGUCCGCCCAUGAGUGCGCCGGUGGCGCCGCCUGCUGGUGCGGCGGUGGCGACACCUGUUGGUACGGCGAUGGCGCAGUCCGCCGCGGCGGCGGGGUCUGCAUCGCGCGGUGGAUCCGCAGGCGCUGUUGUAAGUGCAAGCCUUGGACUGCAGGGUGUAGGUCGCACGGCCCUCCCUGUAGUUGCGGUGCGGCUUCGUGCUCCAACAGGCAAAGUGAUCGUGACGAAUGGUUUUUUUGAUCAAGGGUCGUCGGGAAGCUUCCUGACUGAGCGACUCGCAGAGCGUUUGGGAGUGCAAACUGAGCGCACGACCAUCUCUAUCGAGACCGUGGGUAACGAUAGGAGGAGCAUGUCCACUUCGAUAGCUCCAGGGUUAGAAGUAAGCGCUCUAAACGGCGGUGAGUUUCACCCUCUACCGCCACUAUUGACUAUUGAAGCGCUUCCGGUCACCCAGGCCGACCGAUGUCAGGGAAGUGAGCUAAAGGCUGCGUCCCACCUGGACGGUGUAGAGCUUCACGAGCUGGAUGUACCGGUGGAAGUUCUGAUCGGUUCUAACUGUGCCGAACUGAUUGUGGCGAGAGAGGUUCGUUCUCCUCCCCAGGGCGAGACUGGUCUGUGUGCUGUGCGAACUGUACUGGGCUGGUAUGUGAUGGGACCGGUCCGGGAAGCCACCGGUUCGGGAGAGAGGUUCACGGUGAACUUUCUGAGGGUGCAGGAGAUGUCUGUUUCUGACCAUGACGCUGAGGAUAGUUUGUACAGGAAGAUGUAUGAUAAUGACUUCAAGGAUUUGUCUGACGAUCGUGAGUGCUUCUCUGUGGAAGAUCACGAGUGGCUCGCUGAUGUUCUGCCCCGAGUGAGGAGAGAUGAUGAUGGAUUUUUUGAGGUUCCUCUCCCUAAGAGGGAUUUCGGUGCGCUGCCUGACAGCAUGCCGGUGGCGUCAAAGCGUUUGGACUCACUGAGGAAGCGUUUCAAUGCAGACCCAAAGUACUUUGACGCGUACAGACGUGUCAUUUCCUCACUGGCGGAGGAUGGAUACGCAGUUCUGGUGCCAGAGGGAGAUAAUGGGGGUCAUCCGAUCUGGUAUCUCCCUCAUCACGGCGUCUUUGAACCGGAAAAAGGUAAACUGCGUGUGGUGUUUGACUGCGCGGCCAAGAGUCGUGGGGUCUGCUUGAAUGACCUGUUGAAGAAGGGACCGGUGCUGUCAAACUCCCUCUUGGGAGUACUUUGUCGUUUCCGUGAAGGAACGGUCGCAUUCACAUGCGACAUCCAGUCAAUGUUCCAUAGAGUCCAUGUGCCCAUCUGUGACUCUGACCUACUGAGGUUUCUGUGGUUUAAAGACGACAAUCCUGACGGUGAGGUAGUCGUGUGGAAAAUGAGGUCUCAUGUUUUCGGAGCCCUGUCCAGCAGCAGUGUGGCCAGCCUGGCACUGACCUGCUGCGCUGAGGAGGGUCGGCUGCGGCAUCCUGAGGCCGCCGACGCUCUGCUUCGGAAAACAUAUGUCGAUGAUACCCUUUGUUCCACAAAUUCUGUCGAAAGCGCAGUUCAGCUAGCGCGUGACCUGAAAGACUUGUGCAAAAACGGAGCGUUCAACUUGACAAAGUUCUCAAGCAACAGUUCUGAGUUUCUUAAGGAGAUCCCUGUCGGUGACAGGGCAAAAAAUGUGAAGACUUUAGACCUGGACAGGGACACUCUGGGUACCGAGCGUGCGUUAGGCCUGAAGUGGUCUAUCGUAGACGACUCGUUCUGCUUCCAAUUCUGCAACAAGCAGAAACCUGCGACAAGGCGCGGUCUGCUGUCGACAGUCAGCUCGGUGUUUGACCCGCUGGGAAUUGUCUCUCCGGUGACUCUGUUGGGCCGAGUGCUGCUACAGAAACUGUGCCUGCUCUCCUGUGGCUGGGAUGAUCCGCUCCCUAGUCCGCUGGCGGAGGACUGGCAAGAAUGGCUGGACCGAGCCAGCGAGCUUGACAAUGUUCAGCUGAGGAGGUGCACCGUCGGCCCUCCCGGGAAGGUGUUGAACAGUCAGCUGCAUGUGUUUGCUGAUGCGAGUGAGACGGCAUACUCCGCCGUGGGUUACCUGAGAAGAGAGAUUCUUACCCCUGAGGGACAGGUCGAACGUUUUGUGACUUUUUUGAUGGGAAAGGCACUAGUAAAUCCCGUUCGUUUUGUGUCGGUGCCACGACUAGAGCUGGCUGCAGCGGUGCUGGCAGUUAAGGUGAGGAGACUGCUGGUGAGAGAGUUGGAUGCCACAUUUGAUUCAUUUCACAUGUGGACCGACAGCACGGUGGUCCUGAGCUUCAUCCGGAACCGAACCACACGGUUCAAGACGUAUGUGGCGAACCGGCUCGCCUACAUACAUGAUGGUUCAGAGGUGGCCGAGUGGGCGCACGUGCCAUCCAAGUUGAACCCUGCCGAUGUAGGUUCUCGUGGCUGUUAUCCUUCAGGUCUGGGACCGUGGCUGAGGGGACCUGAGUUUUUGGAUGGUGAGGCUGGUGGCUGGCCCUCAGACCCAGCUGUUCACGCUGAGAUCCCUCCGAUUGAGGUGAAGUCCGCUCCAGUGACAGUGGCUCUGGUGUCUGCCGGCACCGGACAGAAGGGUCCAACGGACGCUCUAAUCAGUCAUUUUUCGUCCUUUGACAGACUCAAACGGGCGGUGGCAUGGUAUCGGAGGUUCUUCUGUGUCAUCCGGAAUGGUUCAUUUCGCAGGUGGUGCAUGACCCGCCGAAGGGGGCUUCGGCGGCGUGACCACGUUGGUGAGGCCUCUCUGGUUGUGUCCGACCUGCAUGAGGCAGAGCGUGCGAUCUUGCGGCACGUCCAGCGGGAACUCCCCGAAUUUCCUGGUAGAGACUGUGACGAUGGUCCAACUGAAGUGAGUUCGAGUAGUCCUCUGAGAAAGUUACGGCCGACCAUGCAGAGUGGUCUGCUGGUGGUUGGUGGUAGGCUGUCUCGAUCUGAUUGUGUCUCUGAGAGUGAGAAACACCCGGUGAUUCUCCCCCGGGAUAGUCACGUGACACGAUUGGUGAUCAGAGAGGCUCACCAGAGAGUUGGUCACGGGGGGAGAGACCACACUUUUUGGGACCUGAGACGUAAGUUUUGGGUCAUUGGAGCGGGAACAGAGGUCCGGAGGUUGAUCCGAUCUUGUGUGGUGUGUAGACGGGUAAAUGCCCGUCCCCAGCAUCAACUGAUGGCUGAGCUGCCUCGGGAGCGCGUCUCGGCAGACGCGCCGGCGUUCUCGUCGGUGAUGCUGGAUGUCUUCGGACCAGUGUUGGUCAAGACUGGACGGAUUGAGCGAAAACGGUAUGGACUUAUGUGUGUCUGUACGAUGACACGAGCUGUUCAUGUGGAAAUUCUGAGUUCAUUGAGUUCUGAUUCACUUAUCAAUGCCAUUCGACGCAUCAGUGCUCGAAGAGGCCAGAUCACCCAAAUCCGAAGUGAUAUGGGAACGAACUUGACUGGCGCCGAUCGCGAACUCCGUGAGGCGCUGAGAGAGGUUCGCCAGAGUGAUCUGCAGCGCGCAGCGCUGAAGCAGGGUAUCGAUUGGAGUUUCAACCCUCCCACUGCUUCUCACUACGCUGGUGGUGUCGAAAGACAGAUCCGGACGUUUCGUAAAAUCUGGCGAUCUAUGCCUACUCAGCGCGUAGAUGACGAAACGCUCAGUACCUUGUUCUGUGAAAUCGAGUCGAUCAUGAACAGUCGCCCGUUGACAUACGUGUCGACGGCCUCGGGUCAGGUGGAACCCCUGACGCCGGGUCACCUGUUAUUCCUGAGGGGUUGCGUCGGACCCAUUCCUGGUGAGUUUUCUGAGGCCGACUCACUGCCGCGCCGCCGAUGGCGUCAUGUACAGUAUUUGGCUCAGGAGUUCUGGCACCGCUGGAAGCGGGAGUAUUUGUUAUCACUGCAGACGCGACAGAAGUGGACGCGUACUGCCACGAACCUGGGACCGGGUGAUAUUGUUUUGUUAGUAGAUCAAGAUGUACCUAGAGGUAAGUGGAGGAUGGGAAAGAUAGUUAAAGUUUUUCCCAGCCGGGACGGGCUGGUUCGAAAGGCUCUGGUCAAAACGUCUACGUCGGAAUACCUGAGGCCAAUCCAUAAGAUGGUCCUGAUCAGCACGGAGUCUGAUCUGCGGUAGACGUGCAGUGUCCGCGUCCCAUUGUGGGUAUUGGUUUGAACGGACCUGCAGCUGUAGUGUACGAUAUGUAGGCAAACAUCAGGUGAGUGACUUAUGUAGAAUUCGUGUAGUUAAGUUUUAGUGGGUAAGUGCAGUGUCCCAACGGGAUAAUUGUUAAUUGUUUGCUAGUUGUUAGAUAAGUAAGGCCGUCAGGAUGUUGUUUUGAACUGAUGCAGCUGUUAGCUCGUUAAGUCCGUAAACCACUGAUGGUGAUUUGACUUUGAUCGGGCGCCGUGUUCUGUUAGUUCGGCCGCCCUUGCUCCGGUCGUCCGAAGGGGGGAGUGUUAAUGGCGCCCGCGGUCCGCAUUGAAUCCCUCACCCUUCCUUUGAUGCCACACGUCAGCAGCUCUAGCUGAGUCGGACUUGCACCUCUAGCUGAGUCGGGCGAGUGCCGAUGUGGCAGCUGGCCGCGGUCACGUGACCGAGCGUGACCCUUGUGCGGGCCGAGUAGAGGGCGUUGUUUUGUGCCCGGUGUGCUGAGGGGCGGACGUGUGAGCUGGAGCUGCGCGAAAUGUAAGUGGAUUCUGUAUUUGAAUUAUACUUUGUUCUUUCUUGAUAUUGCUAUAAACAUGCUGAUCGAUUCAUUAACGUAAUAUAGUUGUUUGUUCGAGUUUGAUUUAUGUACGUGUUUACUUUCGCUAGGCAGAGUGAGCACCGCGGAGUCGGGCUGCUCGUGAGUCCGGGGAUGUUUGGCGGCCGAGCUGUGGCUGUGGGUUCCCCCGUGACGGACCGUGUGGACGGAGCGAUCUUCGUGAUGAGAUCGACUUGUUGAGCGCCGGAGACGUGAACAGCCGUAACGGACAGUUUCGGACUGCCUCGAGAGCUGCAGACGAAUAGAGGUCCAGUUGACGGCACAGCGUUUUUGACUACGAGGGCGCUCGGUUUGGCCCACGGCUGAGG